AUGGGUAACACCAUCUGGAGGACCGAACCAAUAAGCGUUGAAAAGCUUCUGGAUGACCUGAGGGUGGGGGUGAAAGGCUAAUCAAACUUGGAGAUAGCUCGUACUCCCCGAAAUGCAUUUAGGUGCAGCCUUGACUUAUACUGGCAUGAGGUAGAGCGACUGAUAAGAUGCGAGGGCUUCACCGCCUAUCAAGUCUUGACAAACUCCGAAUGCGUGUCAGUUCUAUGUCAGGAGUGAGGGCAUGGGUGCUAAGGUCCAUGUCCUAAAGGAGAACAAUCCGGACCAACAGCUAAGGUCCCUAAAUGAAUACUAAGUUGAACUAACGAAGUCAGAUUGCUAAGACAGCUAGGAUGUUGGCUUGGAAGCAGCCAUUCAUUUAAAGAGUGCGUAACAGCUCACUAGUCGAGGAGUUUGGCGUGGAUAAUAAUCGGGCAUCAAGUAUUCUACCGAAGCUUUGGGAUGUGUAAACAUCGGUAGGGGAGCAUUCCACUCAGCGUUGAAGGCGGGGCGUGAGCCUUUCUGGAGCGUGUGGAAAAGCAAAUGUAGGUAUAAGUAACGAUAAAGGGGGUGGGAAACCCCCUCGCCGAAAGACUAAGGUUUCCUGAUCAACGCUAAUCGGAUCAGGGUUAGUCGGGUCCUAAGGCUCAGCCGAACGGCGAGGCCGAUGGCAGAACCGGUUAAUAUUCCGGUACUACCUCAAGGAGUGACGUGGAGACGGAGCAGUGACAGUGCCGCGGACUGACGGAAUAGUCCGUUAAAGGGUGUAGAUGUUGAUUCCUGCAGGCAAAUCCGCAGGAAGAGUCGAACCUGACAGUAUGGAGCGUCCUUCGGGACAAUCCAAUAGUGCACGUAAGCAUACUCCCGAGAAAAUCCGCUAAACUUAAUCCUUGUGGUACCCGUACCGCAAACGGACACACGUAGUCGGGUUGAAUAUACUAAGGCGCUUGAGUGAUUCACGGUUAAGGAACUAGGCAAACUGACCCUGUAACUUCGGGAUAAAGGGUCCUCAGGGUGACUUGAGGCGCAGAGAAUCGGUCCAGGCAACUGUUUAACAAAAACACAGGGCUGUGCGAAAUAGAAAUAUGAAGUAUACAGCCUGACACCUGCCCGGUGCUGGAAGGUUAAGAGGAGAUGUCAUCGCAAGAGAAGCAUUGAAUUGAAGCCCCAGUAAACGGCGGCCGUAACUAUAACGGUCCUAAGGUAGCGAAAUUCCUUGUCGGGUAAGUUCCGACCUGCACGAAUGGUGUAAUGAUCUGGACGCUGUCUCAACCGUGAGCUCAGUGAAAUUGUAGUAUCGGUGAAGAUGCCGAUUACCCGCGAUGGGACGAAAAGACCCCGUGAACCUUUACUAUAGCUUAACAUUGAAUUUGGGUAAUUGAU
rnacentral:rRNA from 1 species